GACGAACGCUGGCGGCGUGCCUAAUACAUGCAAGUCGAACGGUAACAGAGAGAAGCUUGCUUCUCUGCUGACGAGCGGCGGACGGGUGAGUAAUGCCUAGGAAUCUGCCUAGUAAUGGGGGAUAACUUGCCGAAAGGUAAGCUAAUACCGCAUACGUCCUACGGGAGAAAGGAGGGGACUCUUCGGAGCCUUUCGCUAUUAGAUGAGCCUAGGUCGGAUUAGUUAGUUGGUGAGGUAAUGGCUCACCAAGACCGCGAUCCGUAACUGGUCUGAGAGGGUGAUCGGCCACAUUGGGACUGAGACACGGCCCAG
rnacentral:rRNA from 1 species